rnacentral:rRNA from 1 species
UACGUAGGAGGCAAGCGUUGUCCGGAAUUACUGGGCGUAAAGCGCACGUAGGCGGUUCGUUAUGUCGGAUGUGAAAGCCCUUGGCUUAACUGAGGAAGUGCACCCGAAACUGAGUAGCUAGAGUACCAAAGAGGGUCGCGGAAUUCCCGGUGUAGAGGUGAAAUUCGUAGAUAUCGGGAGGAACACCGGUGGCGAAGGCGGCGACCUGGGUGGAUACUGACGCUGAGGCGCGAAAGCGUGGGGAGCAAACAGG